CCGCAGCGACAAGAGAAGAUGUCAAUGAGCGAAGAUGAGGAGGCGGAAAGACGUCGCUUAAGGCGCCAGAGGGAGAUUGAAGAAGCCCUCGAAGUCAAGUCUCUCAGACGCAUCAUCAGCGCAUAUCUCAACUAUCCAGAUGCUGCAGAAGAUGAUGUCAGAAGAUAUGAAAGAUCUUUUAGAAGGCUUCCACCUGCCCACAAGGCUUUAUUGUCUCACUACCCUUCAAAAUUUCAAAGGCUGAGACGGUGUAUUUCAGUGAAUUCUUUUUUCAUAUUUAACAUGCUUCAGGCAUUUGAGCCCCCUCUUGAUAUGAGCCAGGACACAGAUAUGUGUGAAAACCCACAUCUGGAAAAUGCUCUGGAUGAUCAUCUUGACUCUGGAGAGAGAAAUAUUUGCCCUUGCGAGGCUGCCUCAACGAGUGGGAGAAUAUCUUUUCCCCAAUCUGAUCAAGCCAGUUAUGGGAAGAGCGAUAUAACAUGCAAGUCACCAGAAGGGGUUAAUAAUAAGGAGUUGGGAACUGAAAGUUGCUGUGAGUCUGGUCCUGGGAUCUGUAAUGCGUACCCAGGAAAUAACAGAGAGACGGAUCAAGCUGGUAGUAGUGAUGUUAAGAUUAAUAAUGAUGAGGCGACACCAUAUUCCUUUGCUGAUUCCAAUGGAAAUGUAUCUUCAUCAACUCAUGAGUGGUUGGAUCCGUCAUUUCAGUUGAAUGUUCCUCUAGUUGAUGUUGAUAAGGUUCGUUGUAUUAUAAGAAACAUAGUAAGAGAUUGGGCUGCAGAGGGACAAAAGGAGCGUGACCAGUGCUACAAGCCUAUUCUUGAAGAGCUUGAUGGUCUAUUCCCAAAUCGCUCUAAGGAUAGGCCUCCUUCCUGUUUAGUUCCUGGUGCUGGACUUGGGCGGCUGGCAUUGGAGAUUUCCUGUCUUGGUUUCAUAAGCCAAGGAAACGAAUUUUCAUAUUACAUGAUGAUAUGCUCAAGUUUUAUUCUCAAUAAUGCUCAAACUGCUGAGGAGUGGACAAUUUAUCCUUGGAUCCACAGCAAUUGCAAUUCACUAUCAGAAAACGACCAACUUCGUCCUGUUUCGAUUCCUGAUAUGCAUCCAGCCAGUGCAGGGAUCACUGAAGGCUUUUCAAUGUGUGGUGGUGACUUUGUUGAAGUCUAUAGCGAUCCAAGCCAAAUAGGAGUUUGGGAUGCAGUUGUGACCUGCUUCUUCAUUGAUACAGCACACAACAUCGUGGAAUACAUUGAAAUCAUAUCAAGAAUCCUCAAAGAUGGUGGUGUCUGGAUCAAUUUUGGACCCCUGCUGUAUCACUUUGCGGAUAUGUAUGGACAAGAAGAUGAGAUGUCCAUUGAACUAAGUUUGGAAGAUGUGAAGAAGGUUGCUUUACACUAUGGAUUUCAAAUGGAGAAAGAAAGGACCAUUGAGACGACCUACACAACGAAUCCUCGAUCCAUGAUGCAAAACCGAUACUUUGCUGCAUUUUGGACAAUGAGAAAGAAACCAGUGGCAACCUGAUACACCAUAAAUACUGAGCUCCUCAGAUUACAAGUCUCUGGCCAAUGGUUCUUUCUCAAGUGGAUUGUUGCAAAAGAGAAUCUAUUUUGUCUUCAAACUGGAAAAAUAUGGAAGAGGGAAGAUAAAAGGUGAAGCACACUCUUAAUUGGGUUAUCAGUCAAUUUGCUCAAAGAAGAUGAUUUGAUUAAGCACUGUUAAUUUAAGUUCUAGCCUGGUCAUGUAGCUAUGGCUUUUGUAUUUUGGUUUUCUGGUGAUGGGGUUUGUCCCUAAUAAUCAUUUUUGGAUUGAAACUUUUGUUCAAUCCAAGACUUUUACAACUAUCUCUUGGAAGCAUCUGGCUUUCUAUUAUUACAUUGAAAACGAUUAUGUCCAGGUUUGGUGAAAUUUAAGGCAAUCUGCCAUCAUGUUUUGAGUGGGGCA